GCGACGAACAGUUGCGAGGACUUUCUGAACGGCUUGGUCCACUCGAGGUAGAAAACCAGGGCCCGCCGCACAUCGAGCGUGUGGAUACGGCACUCCUCACUGGCCGCAUGAGGCUUGGGGCAGACAACUGGUAGAAAAAUGUCCUGACCCAUGUGGUAGGCAGAGACCACUUUCGGGAGGAACGUGGGGUGUGAGUGGAGCUGGACCUUGUCCUUAUGAAAAACCGUGUACGGCGGCUCGGAGGUCAGGACCCUGAGCUCUGAGACCCACCUGGCUGACGUGAUAGCAACCAAGAAGGCCACCUUCCAUGAGAGGCCCAGGGCGGUGCACAUGGACAGGAGGAGCGUAACGUGAUCCCUCAUCUGCGACCAGGAGGUGCCCUUGACCAGCCAGUCGUCCAGAUAGGGGAAUAUCUGGACCCCCCGGUGCCUAAGAGUCUUCCCAUCAAAAGGGAGACCCUGCAUUGAAGACUGCGCUUCGCUGGACAGCCCAGAGGGCAGGAG